AUGCUGCAGACAAAAUUGUCCAAUACUUGUGGUGUGAAGGGGACAAAUUGUAUAAGGCCUGCUGAUUCAGAACCACCUCCACAUUACUUGUUUACAAGUGGUGCCAAGGAUGAAGUCGAAGCGGCAUGGAUGGCAGCAAUCAACAAGGAAAUUAAACGUGUGUUGACAGAAGUUCUUCUGAAGGUUACGGAUGAUCUUUUCAAUGAGAUCGCAACCAAAGUUAUGAAUGAAGAUGAUUCAUCAGCUGAACCAAAUGAGACCACUGGUGUCUCUAGCUCAAAGGAGCUUGGUCUGGAAGAAUCAAAAGUGAAGACCACAGCUAAAGUUGUAGUCCUUGCUAAGCCAAACAAUGUUAGCUCUACUGGUCGUUCUGAUGGUACUGGGCUAAGUUCUCCUAAAGGUGUUCUUCUUGGUCUUGCUAGUUAUGAUUCAGAUGACGAGGAUGAUGAGGGUGAUGGUGAUGGCAAGGGUGUAAUUCCGAAUUUACCAUCUGAAAUUAAAAGUUGGUGCAGCUCAUCCUAA
rnacentral:rRNA from 1 species